GCCCCACCCUCACCCACAGCUCAGCUCCUUUCCCUUCCCCUUCUCAGUCAUUCCUCCCAGCUUCCUUUCAGGUAGGGAAUCACGGAAUAACAGAGAUCUGGGAACGUCCUAGACAAUCAGGAGUAUUGGCAGAGAACAGCAAACUCCUAACUUCUCCAUUUUCUGAGGGGAGGAAGGGGUGAGGGUCCCCAAAUCCCAUCCUUCUCAGGGUUCAGUGGUCCCGGAAACACUGCUGCUUACAGGAAUGGAGCCAAGGAUCCAAGGAUAACGAAGGAUAAAUGGAAAUGCUGUAGAAUUCCAAGGGUUGAGCCAGAAGGCGGGAGGGUUUGAAGUCGGAUCUGGGAGACGCUUCGUCUCAGACCCCGUCCUGAUUAACAUGCAGACUGCAGACUCCGACUCCGCAAACAAGGUCACUGCAGGGGGAAGAUCAGCCGAGACCGAGCGCAGGAAUACUGUGAGCCCGUUGUUGGGGAGGAAUCGUCUCUCUCUG